GAUGAACGCUGGCGGCGUGCCUAAUACAUGCAAGUCGAACGCUUCACAUAUGUGAAGAGUGGCGAACGGGUGAGUAAUACAUAAGCAACCUGGCCUUUACAGGGGGAUAACUGUUGGAAACGAUAGCUAAGACCGCAUAGGUGUGAUAACCGCAUGGAGAUGACAUGAAAUAUGCUACGGCAUAGGUAGAGGAUGGACUUAUGGCGCAUUAGCUAGUUGGUGAGGUAACGGCUCACCAAGGCGACGAUGCGUAGCCGACCUGAGAGGGUGACCGGCCACACUGGGACUGAGACACGGCCCAGACUCCUACGGGAGGCAGCAGUAGGGAAUUUUCGGCAAUGGGGGGAACCCUGACCGAGCAACGCCGCGUGAAGGAAGAAGGAAUUCGUUCUGUAAACUUCUGUUAUAAAGGAAGAACGGCGGAUAUAGGGAAUGAUAUCCGAG
rnacentral:rRNA from 1 species